AUGUACAUUAAUAGAACAUUAAUGCAAUGGAUCCCAUUAUAACUCCAUAGUUAAGCAUGAUUGGGCUAGAGUAGUACUAGGAUGGGUGACCUCCCAAGAAUUCCUAAUGUUUUACAUG
rnacentral:rRNA from 1 species